rnacentral:lncRNA from 1 species
AAAACGGAUGACGACUGAAAGCUGCGUGAAUCAAGUGCAGUUUUAUUUUUGUUGCAAUGUUGUUGACUCAGAUCAAAGUGGUAUGUGUUGUCCUGUGCCUCAUUGGCUUCAGGGAGCCCUGGAAUACCUCAGAUGUUACAGCGGUUCUGCACGGAGGACUCGCACAUCAAGGCUUUAUCAGAUCUGUAAAUGAUGCUAACCUGAUGUUUGAGUUCUUAUGGAGAGGACUGGAGAUUGAUGCCGACAAUAAUGUUGUCAUGCGGGAUCAAGAAAUUGCAUCGAUGCGACAAGGGCGAGCUUUCUUAUCUCUUAUAAAUGACAGUAUCCCAAAGACUGUCUCUGCAAUGGAGAAGUUACUGGCUAUGCUGGAAGAGCAAGACAACUCUUUCACUCAGACCCGUUUUGAGACCCUCCUCCUUGGGACUAUCUAUUCAGCCUACCAGGCACAAAACCAGAGGCUAGAGUCGGAGCAGCAGGCCUGGAUUGAUAUUCUUGGUCGUUUUGCAAAUGUUACUUUCGUUCAGCUACGCAAGUCUUAACUAACAAUAAACAUACCAGUGCUUCACAAGUUCACACGUACAGAAAAUCAGAUAAAGAGUGUGCAUAUUUGGCGUGCUGUCCAAGGGGAGGGCUCACCCAUAUCCUAGACUGGGAUAGGAAAAGUCGAGUGAGGAGUUGGGGUGGUGAAGGGAUGCUGGAAACUGUUGAGGGA